UGGCACGGAGCGUGCACCAGAGCCUGCUGGAGGCCUGCGCCUGCGCGGCGGGACAAGGAGCGGGGCCGUGCAGGGGGACGGGCUCGUCACGUACCUUCGAUGAGAAGCGUAGUUGCCGGUGAUGUGCCCAGAGCCGUCGCAGCCGGGGGUCGGGCACCUGCAAACACAAAUGCAGAUCGGCCAGUUGACUUGAGAGAAAUCGACCCCCUCAACACGUCACGUCCUUACUCAUCCAGAAAGCAAACUCUCAAUGCUUCACCUCCCUACCAGAGAGAGACGGGUGGAGCAGGAAGCCCCGCGGCGGGGAGCGGGCACCUGUGCCCACCUAGCGCACCACCAGAUACCAACCUUGGCCACCUUCUUCCUUCCAAGCACAAGGACGCUUUCCGGAGCAUCAGGCCCUCGGUACCUGCCUCGCUCACAACACCCCCUCGGGCUUGGGCUCGAGGCUGUUGAGUCCAGAGACUCUGGCCCCUGCAGACACCCCCGCCUGCUUCCCUCCUGCUCAUGUGAGCCUCAGGGAGGGAGGGGUCAGUGGGACUCAGCCACAGCAGUCGUCCACGAAGCAAGCUUCGUACACGGCGGACGUGUGCAGGGACUGCUCUUUGUCUACACUUGAAACACCGGCCCUAAAUCGGGCUCCCAUUAAAGCUGGGCCACCUGGCUGACCCGGGUCCAGUGAGGGCGGUGCCUGGGCCUGAGCCGUGGGGACUCCAUGAGAGCGUCAGGCCACCCGGAGUUGCCUUAAAGCCCCGUGACCUUAACCGACCCGCACGGAGCCCGGAUCUCUUGGUCCAGCAGUCCCCAUCAGCCCAGACCCUAGAGUCCUUCUGGGACCUGCACCGGCUCUGCGUCGGCCUGUGCUACGGGACACAGCGUUCUUUAAGAACGGUUUCAUCAUCGCUGCCCUUCCUAUGACGUCCUAAGUGCACUGUCUCAAGGAAAGUCAGGUGCACCGCAGACACCUUGCAUCUCAAGCUAUGCUGGUUGCCAUGUGGCCACCGGGACUGUAAAAAACAAGGACAAAAAUUAGGAAAAAAUUCUUCUUUCUUUCCAGAUAGCUUGUAACUCGAAUGAAGGGACUUAGUAAGAACAUCACGCCUGGGUCAGCCCUGUGCCCCACCCCCACUCCGUGAACACCCGAGUGCCCGGUAAGGACAAAAAUCACAAACUUCAAGUAUUUAACCAGUGUCUGCUGCUUCUGAGGGGUUUCACGUGGCUUUCCGCUCAGAGUCACCGGGGACACCGGAUGCUGAGACGGGGCCAGCAAAUGACUUGUCUGGAGCAGGACGUGGUGGCCCCGCUGCCCGCCCAGCACCGCCGGAUGCUGGGCGGAGACGGCGGUGGGUGUCACAAGCCAACACUCGGUGUCUGUCUACAUCUCCUUCAGUCCUAAGAGAGGGGUCCGUCCUGGCUCUCACGGUGCGCUAACGGCUAUUUGCCGUGUCAUAUUACAGGUUGAAGUUCCGUUUACGGCCCCUGCUGUGAUUGCUUAAAGAGGCAAACGGAUCACGUUUGCCACGUCGCUGGUGUGGACACUCGGAACCAGGAGUUUUAAAAUAUGCGCUCGUGGUGGAACAAUGAAGUGUGUGCAGAAUCUGUGUGUCGAGAACCACCACCGAAAUCUGACUGUUGACCUGAGUUUUGUUAGAGCGACAGCUGUUUGUGUGCAAUUAAAGUCUGAUCGCAAGACUAUUCUGCCAAUGGAUCUAAGACGGCAAAGAGACCUGCGAGCCUGAACCUCCCAGAAUGCCCUGUGCUCAUGGCUGCACUGAGCUAUGUACACCAAAACAAACAUUCUGUUCGGAUCUACACAGGAACUAUCACUGAUCACAGCCACAUGGGGGUCAUAGGAUGUAUGCCCUAAUGUCAAAGCACAACUUAAUGUCUCUCCAUUAAAACACAUAAUCCUGGACACCAUAAGACUUUGCACUGGCACACGUCCCAGGAAUGUCACAGCCUCGUGUCUGCCCUGAUCUGUCCCUCUGUGAGACAUACACCUGUUACAGUGUCGUCUUCCCGCCCAUCUAAAACCCCUGUCCUGAGACCGGGUGGGAGCAAUGGAACUCAUCAAACCCACGACUGAAGUGUCAUCGAUUCGUUAUUGUUAAACGGAUGCCUGCAUCAGAAUGCAGGUUACUACACGUUGUGAUCUGAGACUGGUGAACCGCUGUGGCUUCUGCCCCCCUGGUGACACGUCAGUGAGGUGCAGGGCGGAUUCCAUGCACACGAGCAUUUCUUCCUGGGGACCCCAAGGUGCUGCCCAGGCGCCCUUGCCGGGUAGCACGUGGCUAAGCCCCUGACCCCACAGGGCCAGCCCUUCGCCGUCUACCUGGGGGGUGACGCCGCCCUGAGCGGUAAAACACCCUGGGUGCGGCAGCCUCUGUGACCUUGUGCCCAGCGUCCCCCUUCGCUGUGCUGGCAGAAAGACCCAGCUUGUCUCCUGCGAAUCAGCUUACAGCAAAAAAUAUCUGAAGGUGUCUCAGGCUCUCUCCUCCUGGUAAAAGUCCAUCACUUAUUUUCAAAAACCUUCUACAUAGAGGCAGGAAGAACCGUGGGUGUCUCCGGGCUGCACCGGGAGAGUCUGUGGUUGACCCGCCUCCGUGAACUGCCCUGCGAGGCUGAGGCCAGUAGCUGGAAAUCCACAGAAACAGACCCUGAGGAUCCAGGGUGAUCAUGCAAAAUACAAGGGGUGCACUGGAGUUCUGGGAGGAUUUCGUGGAAAGGCCCUCGGCCACGUUUCUUGCUCAUUUCUUUCGUGGCAACUCUAUCAAGGGAACGUAAUUAAGUAAAAUGCCAAGUAUGAAAAAAUAUGUAAUUUUUUUCUAUUGCCCUCAACUUUAAAAGAACUCAUAAAAAUGUAAGAUUAGGCCUCGUCCAUAAUAGCAAAAUAUGUUUGUAAAUUGGAACGAUUCAGGCCACAUGUACAAAAGUCUUUGCUUUAUUUAUAUAAAAAGUUCAAUUCAGAAACUGCUUUUUAUUUUAUUUUUUUUGCUUA